rnacentral:misc_RNA from 1 species
UGGAGGGCCAAAGCCUUUUGGGCUAUUUAAGGUAGCAUACAGGGGCCAGGAGCGUGAAAAAUGAUAUUGAUUUGGGUAGAAAAUGCGUUUGGAAAUUGGGAAUUUGGAGGCUUGUUUGAUUGGAGCAAGUGAAGAUGUAAAUACUAAGGCUUGUUCAAAGAUCUUGGAAGAAAGUGAUAAUGUGGAGGAUGAUGACCUGAUCAGUUGUGCUUGUGUUGAAGCCAUUAACACAUUCUCUAAAGCUCUGUCUCUCUCCUCAACGAAGCUAACGUCAGUUGCGACAUUGUUAACCGCAACAUGGAACUGAAACCUCCCUUUCUUGCCCUGAAUCCCGAU